UACAUUCAUAGUUUCAUUAUGUAGUUGCACUUAUUAUCUUCACGAGCUGAGCUGACACUAAAUUGUAUUCAAAAUUCAUAAAAGUUUCUGCCAACUUUCUCAUUUUAAACACCCAAAUAUACAAGACUUCCUUUACAGGAAAUAUUGAACCACUCUCAUGGAUUUGCUCCAAGAAAUAACGGAUCCCGCAGGGAAAACAUGGUGCGAAAAUAUGUCCACCAAAAUGCACACUGAAGGUUUUGUAAAAUUUGGGCCAGAGAAAAUUGUUGUGCCGAGAGGCUACAUUCGACUACACGAAAAGAUAAAGAACUUCAAACUCCGACCAGAUGAUAUCUGGGUGGUCACUUUCCCAAAAUCAGGAACAACAUGGACUCAGGAAAUGGUAUGGUGUGUCGCAAAUGAUUUGGACUAUGAGGCUGCGAAACAACCUCUCCUGGAAAGAUCACCGUAUCUCGAAGUUUCUGCAUUGGUACCAACCCUGGAACCAGAACGAGAUCCAUCCCUCAUGGGAAUGGUUAUGGACAGCGUCGAUAUCGUCGCACAGGCCAAAUCUCCUCGGGUCAUCAAGACGCAUCUACCUCUGUCCCUUCUUCCUAAGGAACUGACAGAUUCUCUCACCGCAAAUGACCGCACUAAACCAUUCCCUUGCGGCAGAGUUGUUUACGUCGCUCGGAACCCAAAAGAUGCUUGCGUUUCAUAUUUUCACGACUUGAGAGCUCUUCUGGGAUAUAAAGGCACAUUGGAUGAACUCGUUGACGCAUUCACUUCCGAGAGUGUUCUUUACGCACCUUACUGGAAGCAUGUCCAACCUUUUUGGGAAAUACGAGACCAUAAAAACGUUAUGUUCUUGAAAUACGAGGAUAUGAGCAAAGACUUGUCCUCCGUGCUGGAGAAACUUUCAAACUUUCUUAAGAAACAUAUACCACCAGCUGCCAUGCCAGAAUUGUUGGAGCAUUUAAGUUUUCACGCAAUGCGGAAUAAUCCUGCCUGCAAUUUUGAGGAAACGGUAGCCAGGCGGAGAAAUGUACACAAACUUGGUGAAAGUGAAGAAGGACAAGAACCGUUCACGUUCAUGCGGAAGGGCAAAGUUGGUUCUUGGAAGGAAGAAUUGAGUUCCGAAAUGAUAAGAAAAUUUGAUGCCUGGGUAAAAGCGAACAAGGUCGAGGGUCUAGAAUAUUAGGCACCAUUAUUGAUUUGCACCAUUAUUGAUCUGCACCAUUCGAAUUCAUGAUAUUACGAACAUGGUCAUAUUAUGUAUGUACAUAGAUAUGUACAUAUGUUGUUGUAGCUCUGAUCAUGCAAAAUAUUAAGAUUCUUUAUGCGACUAACAUUAGUGACUAUGUAAAUACAUACAUAUGUAUGUACAUAUACUUAUGCUAUGGUUUAUGCUCCACUUAAUAAUUUUUUUGGUUAAGUUAUCUCAUGUACGAAUUGACUUAGGAGGGGAGCUUGCGAGUGAUCCUUUUGAAUAUGCGUAAAUGUUCAGAAAGUCGAAAUUACCAAAAUAAUCUUUGACUACGAAACUUAUGCUUGUAAAAAAUUAGUUUAAGGGCCUGGGGGAAGUUGCUUAGAAAUCACGUCAACUUUGACAAUAAAAUUCAGCAAUGCACAAGAGGGCACAUUUUUCAAAUUAUGUUUAAUUUGUUAAUCAUAUCUUUAGAUUUUACGUACAUUUUUUUUGACAAUGUGCCCUCUUGUGCAGUGGAGAUAUUUGGUCAUAAAGAGAGCACAAAUUGGCUUAGAAUUGCAAAAUUGAUGGCAUGAAUUGCAUUUUGAGUAUCCAUGGAACAAAAGAAAACAACCUUUUUUCAAAAACUUGAGGGAAAAGUGAUCAAACAGAAGCUUUUGGACGUGAGCGUGCCAUAGAAACGGUGUCAAUUAAUCGUGGUCGUAACUUUAUAGAGUGAUAAAUAAUCUUAGAUUCCUAGCAAUUAUUGUUGCUAACAUAAAAUCAAUUUUCGAAAGUAAAUCUUCCCCCGGGCCCUUAAAGAAAACCCCACAAAAACCCUUACGCGUCAGGGUUUUUCCAAGAUUUUAUACCCCAAAAAUCCCAACCCACAAAGGCUCGAUGGUCUGGCAUAUAAAACAGACAUUACAAAAUUAUCCUGAGAUAAUAAGAUUUCGAUUGUUUUAGAACCUGUGGUGAUGAAAAUGUUUGACUGAGAUUUAUGAACAUGUAUUAUCGAUUUCUGGUUUUUGGAUAGUAUUUGAAAUCUAUGGGACAUUUACAUCCCUGGUAUUAUGAAUUUCCGUAAGUGCAUAUAAAAUAUAUUUCCACUUAACCAGUAGUACAUAGUUUAACUUAAUUUACAUAAUUUAAUUUAUUCUUCUUGAUAUUUAUUUCUUUAAAAUACUGAGAUUUUGGAUAAUUCUAUAAAAUUAAAUCUGGCUCGGGCUGUGCGAAGGUGUAAAGGGAAAUAGAUAACACUGUGAACAUAUUAUUCUUCCAUACAAAACGUUUUAUGCUAAUCACAUUGGUAUCCAAUCGUUUGCUCAAGAAACGCGCCUCAAGUCACGUGUCCUAUCCCACAUUGUUAAAUACCAUAGGAGGAUAUGGCACGUGACGUGCAGCACGUUUCCUGAGCGAACGAGUGGAUAAUCCUCUUAUAACUCUACGAUAAUACCUAAGUGUUAUUGUGGUGGUUUAUUUACUGUUCUGAUUGUCUGUGUUGUGGUAAACUUACCUGCCCUACCUUAACUCUUGCAAUAACUUUUUUCGCCAAAAUUAAAUAAUUCGUAAUUACACAUAUUUCCAAUAUAUUCUCAAUAAAUAAACGAAGUUCAAGUGGAUUGGUCAACAUGUCAUUGGAAGGUAGAAACUUGGCCAAGGUUGCUGGCAAACUGAUACGAUUUCCAACUAUGUAUAAAAACUGGGAGAGCUUUUGCAAAGAACUUGACACCCCACCUGAACUGACGGAGCAGUACACCCGUGGGGAAAUCUCCUUGUUCAGGCUAUUCCGAAAUAGCCUAGAAUCAUGGCGCACGCAAGUUCCAAAGGCAACUGUGAAAGAUCUGUGCUUACUUUUAAGACAAGUACAAAUUUUCAAGGCAGUGAGUAAAGAGCUUAAGAAACUUUGGAAAGGGACUGAUCUCUGGUAUCUAAAAUCAAGCGGUCAAGACUUGGACUCGGAAGCGAAGAAACUUAGUGAUUUGCACAUUAAAGAAACUGCAUUAACUUCACAGUCUCCAGACUGGAUGAGCGAAAUAGAGUCAUCUUGGCUGAUAACCGAAACUGAGUGGGCCGUACAUCUAGCGCGCAUGGAGCGAUACCCAAAUGAAGCAAAUUAUCAUAACCACACUUUCAUUCUGCUCGAAGGAAGUCAAACUGGGGACAAUAAAAUGCCUGGAGUCACCUACUUGAUGGACUUCGUGCAAAGGAAAAGCAAGAAAGAUGGCCAGGAUCACGCAGGGAGGAUCAGACUUUUAAACUUUGAAGGAGGUCGAAACACGUUGUUCAAACCCCAAUGGAUGAAAAAGGUUGGAAACGGAUUGGACGAAAUUACCUACUUGUCGACACGGUUAAGCAAUACGGUGGGUCAAAAGUUGAUUGAAAAUGUGCAACUGGAUUUCGACUGCCCGCCCAAAUAUUAUUUAGUUGGUAAGGAACCUGUACCUGGAGAUUCUACCGAAUCGCACAACUGCUAUAGCUGGGCAACAUGUCAAUUAGGUUUGGCACUUCCGGAUUGGAAACUUCCUGCUGAGACUGAUCCGAUUUGGGAGACUGCGAAGAAGAAACAAAAGCGAGCAGGCACUGGAAAAUCGGGGACCUCGAAGAUUAAGAAAUAAUGGAAAUAUGAUGGAACACGAGAAAAAUUAAUUUGUUGAAAGAAAUGUUACUUGAUUUUGUUAUUAGUUGUUUUAUUAAAUUUUCAUGAAAGUAUGUAAAGAUUCAAACCGUAUGAAAUUGACUUACAGUCAUUUUUCAAGUAAUUAAUAAAUAUUUCAUAACCCAAAAUCAAUUAUCUCAAUUAUGCACUUAUUCCAAUACAGCACAACGUUGUCUCGCAGGUAUUUACAUAUAUAUAUAUAUAUAUAUCUAUAUACAAUUAUACAAAAAAUGCUAUCCUCCAUGAAAAUGUACAUAUGACAUGUAAAUAGCCACCUAAUUCACUCUAAACUAUCCUUAUUAACUUAAUCAUAACUUUAGGCAAAGUGGAAAAUUUUUCCACUUAUACUCAAAGCUAUUUCCAGGAAAAAGCUUUUAGCGUAAGUAAUUUGUUGUGACUCUAUCACAUUGGUAUAUAGAUACAUAAGUGCUCAUAAUUGAAUUAAAAAGUUGUAUUGAAACUUU